rnacentral:rRNA from 1 species
UAGAUGUUGACGACCGGCGCACGGGUGCGCAACGCGUAUACAAUCUACCCCCUACUGUGGGAUAGCCCAGAGAAAUUUGGAUUAAGACCACAUGGUACUAUAUUACGGCAUCGUAUUUAUAGUUAAAGGUUACGGUAGGGGAUGAGUAUGCGUCCCAUUAGUUAGUUGGCGAGGUAACGGCUCACCAAGACCGCGAUGGGUAGGGGCCCUGAGAGGGGGAUCCCCCACACUGGUACUGAGACACGGACCAGACUCCUACGGGAGGCAGCAGUGAGGAAUAUUGGACAAUGGACGAGAGUCUGAUCCAGCCAUGCCGCGUGCAGGAAGAAUGCCCUAUGGGUAGUAAACUGCUUUUAUACGGGAAGAAAAAGGGGCACGUGUGCCCCACUGACGGUACCGUAAGAAUAAGGACCGGCUAACUCCGUGCCAGCAGCCGCGGUAAUACGGAGGGUCCGAGCGUUAUCCGGAAUUAUUGGGUUUAAAGGGUCCGUAGGCGGGCCGAUAAGUCAGUGGUGAAAGUUUGCAGCUCAACUGUAAAAUUGCCUUUGAUACUGUCGGUCUUGAGUUAUAGUGAAGUUGCCGGAAUAUGUAGUGUAGCG